GCCGCAGACGGCGAAAACCAGAGGUGGUUACAGUCAAGUUUAGGGACUGCAGGAGCGAAUUCCCGAAGGCUUGCAGGAGCCGCCCGGCUCUGCCUCCAGCCUUUCUCUCUGGGCCUAGCGGGACUCUCCCAGGCAGGCCCCUCCCUGCCCGCGGGCGCACUUUCCCCGCCUGCAUCUGAGGCGUGGCGCAGCUGGGAGCAAAGCACAGGUGGGCUGGGCGCGGUUUGGGGUUCGGGCGUGGCAGAGUGGCGGCGGGGUCUGGGGAAGAGUUGUCUUGGGGGCAGCGCCAGCCACCAGAGCCCGAGUCAGCGCGGCCAGGACUCUGCAGGGGCAGGUAGCGACCCUUAGAGACGCAACGUGGCGCAGCGGACUCGGCUGCGUGGGGCAAGGGCCGGGGCCGGACACAGGAGCAGCGGGGAUGCCGGGUGCGCUCCGAGGGUGUGGCCCCCGGGCUGUGCGGGGCUCAGAGCUGCUUGCUGGGCGCGGUGCCCGACAAAGCUCCAUUUCUGGCCUUUGGUCUCUUUCUCGGAAAGCAGGCCUCAGUGGCCUCAGUUUCUUCCCAGAACCUGCAAUGCCCCACCAAGGUGACAAGAAGUGCAAGGAGUCGGUUUUCACUGCCAACCAAAGAGGUGACCCCCGCAAAGCAACCAUGUUGGGACAGUCCAUUUGCUGCGUUUUGAUUAUUUGCUAAGAGCAAAUACCUUUUCUGUUUGGGUUUUGCUUUUAGAAAAAAAAUGUGGCAGAUGGUGGUGGCUUUCCCCGUCAUUGAAAGAAGAAAGCAAGACCUUCCAUCUGCGUGAAAUAAUCAUGUCCGUUAAUUGUAAACAGGAGCAUCUUUGAAAGCUGAGCUAGAGGCGGAGCAACUGGUAAACCAGAUGUCCCAAAUUUCUAGGUUUGUACAUUGUAAUUGUUCUAGACUUGUGUGUGGAUAUUGGUAAAAUGACAUAGUCAGAUAUCUCACAGAUUUUGUGAGAUAUGUCCAAAGUUCCCAAGUUAAUUUAUUACUAAAGUUAGAAUUUCACUUACUGUGAGAUUGGAAUGCCAGCCAGCUACUGAACCUUAUGUGUGCCUAGGGGCCAUUUUGAGACAAUUUGCUGAAUAUUAAAAGUACAACCAAUAAUGUUUCUCUCCACAUCCACAAUAGCGCUUAGAGGAAGCAUCUGGGAUUGAGCCAUCUCACAUCUGUCUAAUCACAUUCAUUCAAAUGUGAUGGGCCCAACUGGCCUACGUACAUGGCUGCAUAUCACCAUGGGUGGAAAUUAAAUCAGAAUUUGGCUCAGGAGAGAGAUGAAGAGAAAAUGCACGUAGAUAAUUGGCUCAGAUAACAUUCUGUUUCUGGAAGUCACAAAGAGUGGAAAUUGGAAUAUGUAAAUUAAAGAAAAACAGUCCUUAAGAUCAAGUCCGCAAUGGAAGAAGAGCAUUCAUCUGGUACAGGUUGAUGAUUGUGUAAGCCCAAGGAGUGAUGUCAACACUGGGGUUCACCUGAGAACAUGGACAUGGUUGAUGAGGGUUUAGGAGAUGCUCAUACGAAGUCUUCAUAUGUUCCCUGGAUCCCAGCUCUGCCUUCCCACCAGAGAGGAUGUAAUUCAGCCGAGAUGCCCAGAGUCAGCUCUCUGCUCAUAUCUGUUCCGCACUGAAGCCAAUCAUCUGAGAAACCUAAGAAGUGUUUAAUGUAGUUAGGAAAGUGAGGGAUGAAGACCAUAAAUUCCUUUUCAUGUAGCAGAGUAUAUAUGUGAUACUCAUUCUGUGGUAUUUGGGGCAUAAACAAGAGUCGAUGAAGGAAUGUGAAAGUACUCGAAAUCCUGACUUUUAUCUCUAUAAAAAUGGCAUAGGGAUGAAACACACUUGGUUGUUAUGACUGUACUCUUUUCAGAUUUACUACUUGCCUUUCUACUGAUUUUUCUGUGCCACAGGUCUUGACUCCUGUAGGCUAAAUUUCUCAGCCUCUUCUGCUCACUGAUAUAUGGGAAGGUUUGGCCAAAGGUGGGUGACUGGUGGGGAGAAGGAUGAGGGAAUUCAGGGGAUUGCUGAGCCCAUUCUCUAGACAGUGCUGCUGGCACUGGCUCUGUCUUCUCCGUUUCCAUCUCGCAUCAGACGGUUCUUCCCUCUAUGGGCCUAGUCCUACCUAGACACUUUCCAGUUGGAUUCCAGUUCUGGGGAUGCUCCCUCCUGCAGGGAUCUAAGUCCUUCCCAUUGUCUUCGGCUCCUGGGCUCAGCUAGAACCAUCUUUUCCCAUUGUCCCUGUGGUGCUAGGGCUUUCAGUGGUUAUUAACGUCUGUGUUGUAUCAUCUUGCCUGAAUUUCAGCUCUCUGUAACCAGUUCCCCAAAUAAAAUUCCCCCCAUUUACCUACCUUCUGUGAGUCUGUUUGCCUGACAUGACCGUAUUAAGUAUACCCGAUAUAUUAGUGAGCUUCGGAUGAUAUCACAAUGUGCCGUAGACUGGGUGGCAUAAAAAACAAAGGAAUGUAUUUCUCAUUGUUCUGGAGCUGGGAAGUCCAAGAUAAAGGUGCUAGCCAAUUCUAUUUCUGAUGAGGGCUCUCUUCCUGGCUUGUGGAUGGCCACCUUGUCACUCUAU
rnacentral:lncRNA from 10 species